CCUACGGGCGGCAGCAGUGAGGAAUAUUGGUCAAUGGACGAGAGUCUGAACCAGCCAAGUAGCGUGAAGGAUGACUGCCCUAUGGGUUGUAAACUUCUUUUAUAUGGGAAUAAAACGUUCCACGUGUGGGAUUUUGUAUGUACCAUAUGAAUAAGGAUCGGCUAACUCCGUGCCAGCAGCCGCGGUAAUACGGAGGAUCCGAGCGUUAUCCGGAUUUAUUGGGUUUAAAGGGAGCGUAGGUGGAUUGUUAAGUCAGUUGUGAAAGUUUGCGGCUCAGCCGUAAAAUUGCAGUUGAAACUGGCAGUCUUGAGUACAGUAGAGGUGGGCGGAAUUCGUGGUGUAGCGGUGAAAUGCUUAGAUAUCACGAAGAACUCCGAUUGCGAAGGCAGUUCACUGGACUGCAACUGACACUGAGGCUCGAAAGUGUGGGUAUCAAACAGGAUUAGAUACCCUUGUAGUC
rnacentral:rRNA from 1 species